rnacentral:rRNA from 1 species
GGGUUGUGAGGUUAAGCGACUAAGCGUACACGGUGGAUGCCCUGGCAGUCAGAGGCGAUGAAGGGCGUGCUAAUCUGCGAUAAGCGCCGGUAAGGUGAUAUGAACCGUUAUAACCGGCGAUACCCGAAUGGGGAAACCCAGUGUGAUUCGUCACACUAUCAUUAACUGAAUCCAUAGGUUAAUGAGGCGAACCGGGGGAACUGAAACAUCUAAGUACCCCGAGGAAAAGAAAUCAACCGAGAUUCCCCCAGUAGCGGCGAGCGAACGGGGAGGAGCCCAGAGCCUGAAUCAGCAUGUGUGUUAGUGGAAGCGUCUGGAAAGGCGCGCGAUACAGGGUGACAGCCCCGUACACAAAAGCGCAUGUGCUGUGAGCUCGAUGAGUAGGGCGGGACACGUGGUAUCCUGUCUGAAUAUGGGGGGACCAUCCUCCAAGGCUAAAUACUCCUGACUGACCGAUAGUGAACCAGUACCGUGAGGGAAAGGCGAAAAGAACCCCGGCGAGGGGAGUGAAAAAGAACCUGAAACCGUGUACGUACAAGCAGUGGGAGCCCCACCACUAAGCCAGUGGUGAACUCCACAUACGCAUCCUUUGCUGAGGAUACGGUUAACGGAGCGAAAGCGACGUUCAACCGCAAAAGAAGCAGAGGGGGCUUAGUGGUGGGGUGACUGCGUACCUUUUGUAUAAUGGGUCAGCGACUUAUAUUCUGUAGCAAGGUUAACCGCAUAGGGGAGCCGCAGGGAAACCGAGUCUUAAUUGGGCGUUAAGUUGCAGGGUAUAGACCCGAAACCCGGUGAUCUAGCCAUGGGCAGGUUGAAGGUUGGGUAACACUAACUGGAGGACCGAACCGACUAAUGUUGAAAAAUUAGCGGAUGACCUGUGGCUGGGGGUGAAAGGCCAAUCAAACCGGGAGAUAGCUGGUUCUCCCCGAAAGCUAUUUAGGUAGCGCCUCGUGAAUUCAUCUCCGGGGGUAGAGCACUGUUUCGGCUAGGGGGCCAUCCCGGCUUACCAACCCGAUGCAAACUGCGAAUACCGGAGAAUGUUAUCACGGGAGACACACGGCGGGUGCUAACGUCCGUCGUGAAGAGGGAAACAACCCAGACCGCCAGCUAAGGUCCCAAAGUCAUGGUUAAGUGGGAAACGAUGUGGGAAGGCCCAGACAGCCAGGAUGUUGGCUUAGAAGCAGCCAUCAUUUAAAGAAAGCGUAAUAGCUCACUGGUCGAGUCGGCCUGCGCGGAAGAUGUAACGGGGCUAAACCAUGCACCGAAGCUGCGGCAGCGAACGUAUCACUUAAAGCGAUUCAGCGGGUUACGAUUGACGGAGCGAAGCGACGUCAAAGCGUAUACAAAGUCGAGUCGGUUUAAGGAUACGUUCGUUGGGUAGGGGAGCGUUCUGUAAGCCUGUGAAGGUGGCCUGUGAGGGUUGCUGGAGGUAUCAGAAGUGCGAAUGCUGACAUAAGUAACGAUAAAGCGGGUGAAAAGCCCGCUCGCCGGAAGACCAAGGGUUCCUGUCCAACGUUAAUCGGGGCAGGGUGAGUCGACCCCUAAGGCGAGGCCGAAAGGCGUAGUCGAUGGGAAACGGGUUAAUAUUCCCGUACUUGGUGUUACUGCGAAGGGGGGACGGAGAAGGCUAUGUUGGCCGGGCGACGGUUGUCCCGGUUUAAGCGUGUAGGUGUGUGUUCCAGGUAAAUCCGGUUCACUUUAACACUGAGGCGUGACGACGAGGCACUACGGUGCUGAAGCAACAAAUGCCCUGCUUCCAGGAAAAGCCUCUAAGCAUCAGGUAACAUCAAAUCGUACCCCAAACCGACACAGGUGGUCAGGUAGAGAAUACCAAGGCGCUUGAGAGAACUCGGGUGAAGGAACUAGGCAAAAUGGUGCCGUAACUUCGGGAGAAGGCACGCUGACACGUAGGUGAAGUGAUUUACUCACGGAGCUGAAGUCAGUCGAAGAUACCAGCUGGCUGCAACUGUUUAUUAAAAACACAGCACUGUGCAAACACGAAAGUGGACGUAUACGGUGUGACGCCUGCCCGGUGCCGGAAGGUUAAUUGAUGGGGUCAGCGCAAGCGAAGCUCCUGAUCGAAGCCCCGGUAAACGGCGGCCGUAACUAUAACGGUCCUAAGGUAGCGAAAUUCCUUGUCGGGUAAGUUCCGACCUGCACGAAUGGCGUAAUGAUGGCCAGGCUGUCUCCACCCGAGACUCAGUGAAAUUGAACUCGCUGUGAAGAUGCAGUGUACCCGCGGCAAGACGGAAAGACCCCGUGAACCUUUACUAUAGCUUGACACUGAACAUUGAGCCUUGAUGUGUAGGAUAGGUGGGAGGCUUUGAAGCGUGGACGCCAGUCUGCGUGGAGCCGACCUUGAAAUACCACCCUUUAAUGUUUGAUGUUCUAACGUGGACCCGUUACCCGGGUUGCGGACAGUGUCUGGUGGGUAGUUUGACUGGGGCGGUCUCCUCCUAAAGAGUAACGGAGGAGCACGAAGGUUGGCUAAUCCUGGUCGGACAUCAGGAGGUUAGUGCAAUGGCAUAAGCCAGCUUGACUGCGAGCGUGACGGCGCGAGCAGGUGCGAAAGCAGGUCAUAGUGAUCCGGUGGUUCUGAAUGGAAGGGCCAUCGCUCAACGGAUAAAAGGUACUCCGGGGAUAACAGGCUGAUACCGCCCAAGAGUUCAUAUCGACGGCGGUGUUUGGCACCUCGAUGUCGGCUCAUCACAUCCUGGGGCUGAAGUAGGUCCCAAGGGUAUGGCUGUUCGCCAUUUAAAGUGGUACGCGAGCUGGGUUUAGAACGUCGUGAGACAGUUCGGUCCCUAUCUGCCGUGGGCGCUGGAGAACUGAGGGGGGCUGCUCCUAGUACGAGAGGACCGGAGUGGACGCAUCACUGGUGUUCGGGUUGUCAUGCCAAUGGCACUGCCCGGUAGCUAAAUGCGGAAGAGAUAAGUGCUGAAAGCAUCUAAGCACGAAACUUGCCCCGAGAUGAGUUCUCCCUGAGACUUUAGGUCUCCUGAAGGAACGUUGAAGACGACGACGUUGAUAGGCCGGGUGUGUAAGCGCAGCGAUGCGUUGAGCUAACCGGUACUAAUGAACCGUGAGGCUUAACCUUACAACGCCGAAGCUGUU